UCCACUUUCAUUUUGAGUGUGACUCCAAAUCCAGACCUCCAUGGGUUGAUAAAUUUGAUUUCCAUUGAUAGUUUUUGUGUGAUUUUGUUGUCAGCACAUUCAACUAUGUAAAGAAAAAAGUAUUUAAUAAUAAUAUUUCAUUCAUUCAGAUCUAGGAUGUGUUAUUUUAGUUUUCCCUUUAUUUUUUUGAGCAGUGUAUAUUUAGACAGCUUAUAGAGAGCCUCUGUCUUUACCUCUCUGCUCCGGAUGGCUGGCCCACUGCGCAGUGUUGCCUCUGACAACAACAGUGAUUGGUCUGUGAGAAUAGACAGGUAUAAUGUGUCUUAAUCCAAUUCUAGCUACAGGGGUGCCUGCUCCUACUGUCACAAUGGAGCUCAUUGACUUCCUCAGGGACACUCCUCGUUUUGUGGUCUCAACUGGCCCUUCUCUGGAUAGUUUGAAGGAUUUAUUUCUGAAAUGAGGGGAUUGAUGCUCUGUGUUUUUGCCCUGGCGAUGUUAACAGCUUCUGCAGAUGAGGAUGAUCAGGAGGGGCCUCUGCAGUGUUUCCGCUGUGACCUGGGCUUCUGGGAUGCCUGCUACACCACCAAAACCAACUGCAAUAUCGGGGAGAAGUGCUACACUGGCUGAGGGAAGGCAGGUGAUGUGCUGGAUGUUAAGUUGCUGGGCUGUGUCAAGGCGAAGGAGUGUGAGCUGGUGACCAAUGUGGAGCUCUUCUCCAACACAACCAUCUACAUGAUGACCAGGCACUGCUGUGACACACACUUCUGCAACACCGGACACACACUACCCCUCAACACACUUCUCUCCCUGUCACUGACUACAAUAACCAUCAUCCACCUCUCCUCUCCCUGACAGUGACUGCAAUAACCAUGAUCCUCACCUUCAACAUACUACAAUAACCACCAUGCAUCAUAAAGUCCCCAGCAGCACACAUUUAUUCAAUUUUCUGUUAAUAUGUUUAUUUGUCAAGGAAUAUGGACAGUAAUUAACAUAUGUGGAUGUGCCAGAUUGAGGCAAAAGUCUCAUGUUCAAACCUUAGAAGCUGUCUCUGGGCUCAGUCAAAAUUGGUUAGAUGGUUUUAUGGAAUUCAAUUUUUAAUAAAUGUAAUUUUCUCAUUCUGUUGUUGGCAUAAACUACAAAAGGAGACUGGAUUUUAUUUUAUCAUAUUUAUUGAACAUUCUGAAUUGUAACUGAAUAACGUAAUACAAAUUUACAUUGUCCUCAAUCUUGGUUGGCAUAUUUUAAACACGUCAAAAUUACUUUUAUGUUCUCCUCCAAACUGAAAUAUUUCCAUAGAGAAUACUACAGUAUCUCCCAUUGACUUUAGUGUUAUGGUAAAUCCUAAAGUAGUAUGCAUCAAUCUCUCAGACCCAUAUUCACAGAUCUAGGAUCAUCUUAACCUCUCUAAAACCAUCAGAAUCUUGGGGCAACUUCCUCCUACAGUCAGUGAAGCUGAGGUCAUACUGGUAUACAGUAGUGUUGCUGUUAGACAGACAACAGUAGUGUUGCUGUUAGACAGACAACAGUAGUGUUGCUGUUAGACAGACAACAGUAGUGUUGCUGUUAGACAAAUCAAAUCAAAUUUUAUUUGUCACAUACACAUGGUUAGCAGAUGUUAAUGCGAGUGUAGCGAAAUGCUUGUGCUUCUAGUUCCGACAAUGCAGUGAUAACCAACAAGUAAUCUAACUAACAAUUUCAAAACUACUGUCUUAUACACAGUGUAAGGGGAUAAGGAAUAUGUACAUAAGGAUAUAUGAAUGAGUGAUGGUACAGAGCAGCAUACAGUAGAUGGUAUCGAGUACAGUAUAUACAUAUGAGAUGAGUAUGUAGACAAGUAAACAAAGUGGCAUAGUUAAAGUGGCUAGUGACAUAAGAAUGCAGUCGAUGAUCUAGAGUACAGUAUAUACAUAUGCAUAUGAGAUGAAUAAUGUAGGGUAAGUAACAUUAUAUAAGGUAGCAUUGUUUAAAGUGGCUAGUGAUAUAUUUACAUCAUUUCCCAUCAAUUCCCAUUAUUAAAGUGGCUGGAGUUGGGUCAGUGUCAAUGACAGUGUGUUGGCAGCAGCCACUCAAUGUUAGUGGUGGCUG